rnacentral:tRNA from 1 species
UAGCUCAGUUGGUAGAGCGGCUGAUUUGUAAUCAGUAGGUCGGGGGUUCGAAUCCUCCAGCCGGCACCA